rnacentral:lncRNA from 1 species
UUCAUGGGGAUACGGUCCAGAACCAGCUGGUGGUCCAAGGAGUGGAGCUCCCAUCUUACCUCCCCUUGUACCCGCCUGCCAUGGACUGGAUCUUCCAGUGCAUCUCCUACCAUGCCCCCGAGUGCCUUGCUGUUGAAUUCUGUGAUGUCUGCCUUCCGGGCUGAGUUCAUCGCCACAAGGUCUAUGGAUUUCAUUGGCAUGAUUAAAGAGUGUGAUGAAUCUGGUUUCCCCAAGCAUCUCCUUUUUCGAUCACUGGGGUUAAACUUGGCCUUGGCUGAUCCUCCUGAGAGUGACCGACUUCAGAUUCUCAACGAAGCUUGGAAAGUCAUCACUAAGCUGAAGAACCCACAGGACUACAUUAAUUGUGCCGAAGUGUGGGUGGAAUACACCUGCAAGCAUUUCACGGUA